rnacentral:rRNA from 1 species
CCUACGGGUGGCAGCAGUGGGGGAUAUUGCACAAUGGGGGAAACCCUGAUGCAGCGACGCCGCGUGUGGGAAGACGGUCCUCUGGAUUGUAAACCACUGUCCCCAGGUACGAAGAUGACGGUACCUGGGGAGGAAGCUCCGGCUAACUACGUGCCAGCAGCCGCGGUAAUACGUAGGGAGCGAGCGUUGUCCGGAAUUACUGGGUGAAAAGGGAGCGUAGGCGGGACUGCAAGUUGGGUGUCAAAUCUACCGGCUCAACCGGUAGCCGCACUCAAAACUGCAGUUCUUGAGUGAAGUAGAGGCAGGCGGAAUUCCUAGUGUAGCGGUGAAAUGCGUAUAUAUUAGGAGGAACACCAGUGGCGAAGGCGGCCUGCUGGGCUUUUACUGACGCUGAGGCUCGAAAGUGUGGGGAGCAAACAGGAUUAGAUACCCGGGUAGUC